AGAACUCUACAGAUCAACUUACCAGUAAAAAUGCAUUGGCACAUAAAAACCUGCACAUGGAGUUUAUAGCAGCUUUAUUCGUAAGUGCCAAAACUUGGAAGCAACCAUGAUGUCCCUCAUUAGGUGAAUGGAUGAACUGUGAUACCAAGGAAGAUUAUUCAGUGCUAAAAAGAAAUGAGCUAUUAAGCCAUGAAAAGUGUAAAUGUCAUGGCCUUCACUCAAGCCGUCUUCCUCAGCUUUAUUGUCAUUUUCUUGAGCCUUCACAACCCAGCUUCAGUCCAGCUGACUGCCUCCGCCAUGGCUAUACCAGGGCUGCAGAGCUUUGCUGGGGAAAAAUCACAAUGGUGAAGUUGAUGUCUACUAUGUGACCUGCAGCCUAAUACAUCAGCGCAUCCCUCCGUGUGUCCUGCAACUGUGUUCUCAGAUCAGAGUUUUCUACU